rnacentral:rRNA from 1 species
UGCCAGCAGCCGCGGUAAGACAGAGGUGGCAAGCGUUGCUCGGAGUUACUGGGCAUAAAGGGCGCGUAGGCGGUCGUGAACGUCGGAUGUGAAAUCUCCGGGCUCAACCCGGAAACUGCACCCGAUACGGCAUGGCUAGAGUACGGAAGGGGAGAGUGGAACUCCUGGUGGAGCGGUGAAAUGCGUAGAUAUCAGGAGGAACGCCGGCGGCGAAAGCGACUCUCUGGUCCGGUACUGACGCUGAGGCGCGAAAGCUAGGGGAGCGAACGGGAUUAGAUA